GCCCGGCUAGCUCAGUCGGUAGAGCAUGAGACUCUUAAUCUCAGGGGCGUGGGGCACACGUUGGGCG
rnacentral:tRNA from 1 species